UGUACUUAAAGAACAAUAUGGCGGCUGUGGCAAAGUUUUCGCCGCCCGUAUGAGAAAUUCGCAUUCAUUCAAGAUUGAAUAGUUCACGAUAAACGCUAAGCGUAAUAAGCCUAUUUAGAUUACGUAGUUAACAUCGCGAGUGAAAAUUCGUUCGUGUCGUAACACGUCGAAACAGCCCGAUGCAGGUCGCGCGUAAUUCUCGUAGCUUAAAUCAUGACUUCGAUGCUGUCCAGCUUUAACCCGCCUAUCGUUAAACGAUUGUUGGGUUGGAAAAAAGCAGAAGGAGAAGACAAAUGGAGUGAAAAAGCUGUUAAAAGUCUUGUAAAGAAGUUAAAAAAGUCCACCGGCCUCGACGAGCUCGAGAAGGCUAUUACUACGCAAAGUUGCAACACUAAGUGCAUUACUAUACCGAGGCCUAGCCCAGGCGGUGUCGGAGACAACGGUGUCCAAGGAGUGCGCGGCAAAGGUUUGCCGCACGUGAUCUAUUGCCGACUUUGGCGUUGGCCAGAUUUGCAAUCGCACCACGAACUAAGAGCAAUCGAGCAUUGCGAGUACGCGUUUACGCAGAAACGAGACGAAGUCUGCAUUAACCCGUACCAUUAUCAACGAAUACAAACACCAGUUUUGCCAGCUAUUCUCGUACCUCGGCAUAAUUUAGCCGGGGACGAGUCCGUCCUUUAUAACACUUCCAUCGAGGAGCUCAGUGUCAGUGUGCCAGAAAACACGAGUUUCCACGCGACUUUAAAUCACCAGCACCAUAAUCAACAAAGUAUACCACAAUCACCGCAACAGCAACAACAGCAACAACAACAACAGCCACCGAACAAUCCAUAUCAAGGAAUGCAGAGUAUGCAGGCGACAAGUCCGGCUAGUGUUGGUAGUCUAGGAAGUGUUCAGGGUUCACCACAUCCGGCACCUGGAUCUAUGGAUCCACCUGCUGAUACUCCUCCUCCGGGAUAUAUAAGUGAAGAUGGUGAUAACAUGGAUCACAACGAUAAUAUGUCCUUAUCGCGUUUGUCUCCCAGUCCUGUAGAUGCACAACCAGUGAUGUACUGUGAACCAGCAUUUUGGUGUUCAAUAAGUUACUAUGAACUAAAUACGAGAGUAGGCGAGACUUUUCAUGCAUCGCAGCCGAGCAUAACGGUGGACGGAUUCACUGAUCCCAGUAAUUCUGAACGUUUCUGUUUGGGUUUACUAUCGAACGUAAACCGAAAUACCGUGGUCGAGCAGACGAGACGACAUAUCGGGAAAGGAGCUAGAUUAUAUUAUAUCGGUGGUGAAGUAUUUGCCGAAUGUUUAUCCGAUUCGAGCAUUUUUGUGCAAAGUCCUAAUUGUAAUCAACGUUACGGUUGGCAUCCAGCCACCGUUUGUAAAAUACCACCCGGUUGCAAUUUGAAGAUAUUCAACAAUCAAGAAUUUGCGGCACUGUUAUCGCAAUCAGUUUCACAAGGAUUCGAAGCUGUGUAUCAAUUGACUCGAAUGUGUACGAUCAGAAUGAGUUUUGUAAAAGGUUGGGGAGCGGCAUACCGUCGGCAAACCGUCACGUCGACUCCUUGUUGGAUCGAGUUGCAUUUAAAUGGUCCAUUACAGUGGCUCGAUAGAGUACUCACGCAGAUGGGAUCGCCGCGUUUACCCUGUUCCUCGAUGUCAUAAGGUUGUAUCGCUUUUCUCAUUGAUGGAAAACAGGGACGAUUUGCGUGCUGUCAUUGUCGUCAUCGUCGUUGUGUCAAUUGGUUUUUUCUUACCGCGGAUUCAUUGUUUUAUCUGAAUAUUUUCCAACCACCGACCACAGUGAUGAACAGUGCAAGAAAAAAAAAAAAGAAAAAAAGAAAUACGAUUACUGUUGUUUUCACGAAGCGUGUAUAUGUGUAUAUCCUACCUUGAAAAGUGUACGGGAUACGAAAUCGAGUUUUCGCGUUCAAAGUGCCAGGAAAGCAUUCGAUCGGACGAAUGGAUAUAUAAAACUGGCGAUUGAUUAGCUUGUAGGAAUGUUCAAGUGCUCAAAUCGCGACGGUUCAUCGAUGUUUCCUACGAAGAUAAGGAAAGGACGAUGUGUGGGCAAAAGAGUGCAGACAAGACCGGUUCAAAAUAACAUUCACACAGACUUACCUUUUUUUACAUCGUGUAAGAUCAAGAGACAUGACAGUGACAACGAUGAUUCGUGAACUUACCAAUUACAAAUUUUUGACGAAACGAAUAAUGUUCCAACUGUAUGUUGCACUCCAAUUCUAGAAGAAUAUCGAAGAGAGGACAAGCUUGGGCAGUAGCUAUGGAAAAAAUAGUCUAAAAGACGCAAGAUUUCAAAUCAUAUUAUAUUGAUUCUUAGAUAGUGUUUUUUAUUACAUAGCCUAAUGGCACGAAUAUGUUCGUCUUUUACGAGGAUAUUUUUUUUUUUAUUUUUAAUCAGCAAUCACUUAUCUAAUGCUUAAUUCAUGAGGAAAGAAUGAUAAUAUCGAUCAGAAAAAAAUUAUUUAAAAUUAAUUUUUAAAAUUUUAAAAUACGAAGAACCGAGUAUUAAAUACUCAAAAUUCACUUCGUGAAAGUCGAACACAAUAUCGUCGGGCAGCUCGAGUAAUCGAAUAGUAGUAAGAAAGAGGUGGAAAAGAAAAUAGGUGUUAAUUACCGAGAUAUAAUAAGAUUCAUACCUCUCAGAAUUCAUAGUAAUUGGUACUGUCUCGCAUAAGAAAAAAUAAAAAUUUCUAAUCAUUGAUAUGAUAUUCAACAACCACUUGCCUCUCUGCCAGACUGCCAUUAGCGUAUUAAUUAAGGAAAUGUAACUAGGGGAAUCGAAGAACUCGUCCUCAUUUUUUCUUCGUUGUCCUCGGAUUCCUACUCGUUCAUUUUAUGUUAGCAAUAAGAUCAAAAUAUGUCUAUAAGGUGAAAGAAGAGACAGACCAUUAAGAAACGCGUUUUUAAUUCGCCAAAGUAUAUUAAGUGUAGCAAUUGCCAAAGUUUUUUCUGUAAAUACAAGAAUGUCGAGUCGAUUAGUUUACAGUAGUUGUGAUUCAAUCGUGCACGAAUUAUUAAAUUAUCAACGCUGUCGUGCUUUCUUUCUUGGAAAAUUCAUAAUUGUUAUUAUUGUUAUAAUCGUACUAUAUUGUUAUGUUUUUUCAUUUUGUAUGUUUAAUGUCUUGACCUGCCGAAAAAUCGAGCGGUCCGACGAUUAUGUAUUUUUAAUUCUAUAGCUACUUAUAUAUUUUGUGUGCUAAUAGCUGCAUGCACACAAAGGGAAGGAUCGACUAAACAAUAAUUUCUACGAAACAAAUAUUUUUUUACGUAUUAAAACGGCGUGAAAUUCUUUUACGUACGAUAUAUAUGUAUUUGACGACGAUUAAAAUCGGUCGAUGUUUCCCUGGUGUGGAUGAGAUUUUUGAGAAUACGAGUUAAAAGUAAAAAAGUUGGAAGAACGAACGUAGGAACGUAUGAAUGAGAUUGCGUCAAGAAAUAUAGAGUGUGAGACUGUAAAAUAAUUAUAAAUAAAUAUAUACGUUAUAAGUCUAAUAAACAUGAUUUUGUCGCUUUUUAUUAUUUCAUAAUUAUGGAAAAACUAUUCCUGACAAUGCUAAACAAAUUUAAUGUAUCCACAAAUAUGUGUUUCAAUAAUUUCAUUCAAUAUCUUUACAUGUCUACAAAUAUCACAAAUUUUACUAUAUAAUUAUAGGAACAUAAUAUUAAUGGGAUUAGGAGAUAAAAAAAAAAAUAAAUUUUCUAAUAAAGACUCAACUUUGUGUAGCAAAAAUUUUGUAUCAUUUGACUACGAUAUAAUGAAUACAAUCUAUACACGUGCACAAUGUUGCGCUUAUAUAACUUGAUUAUUAGUAUUAUGGUGACUUAAUAACAGCAACAAUUGCAGUAAGAUUCUUUUGACAAAAAAUUGGUUUUCCAUUUCAGAAAAUAACAUUUUUAAAUCGAAUUCUUAUAAAUUAUCGUCCAAAAAUAUAUAUAUAUAUAUAUAUAUAUGUGUGUAUAUAUAUAUUUUUUUGUGAAAUAUGCGAAAUACAAGAACAUUGAUCAUGUAAAUAAAAAGCUUCAAAAUAUAAAACAAUUGCCGAUUUAUCGCUUAAGCGAAAUUAUAUUAUUGCACGCUUAAUACAAUUUUUUUCUAUUUUCUAGUACUUUAACUCUUUUUUUAAAGCUUUGAAGUACGUAUUAAAAUGCGAAAUCGCAUAUGAGUUUACUAUAAUUAAUACGCUACAUUAGGAAAUGUUCAAUAUUUUGGAGGCGAUAAUAGAUCGAUUAUAAAAGAUUAGUUCAAUAA